GUCCGAAAGGAAAAAAGAUCAAUCCAGAAGUGAAAACCGACGUGAAGCCAGUGCUCAACGUUAUGCUUUUCACCACGAAGCUCAGAGAGGAACUUCAGCAGGC